GAGAUAGAGGCGCGUUUCGCCAAGAGUACCCGUUGCCAAUGCCGUGCAGGGCAGGGGCGGGAAAAGGGGCAGACGCCGAAGCCGGGCCUCCCUGCAUGGGGGUUCAGGCUGGGCGGACAAACGAACAGUUGUCCGACUGUCGCAAAUGGAACAGUUUGCGGAGAGCUAUCC
rnacentral:ncRNA from 1 species